AACGAACGCUGGCGGCAGGCUUAACACAUGCAAGUCGAACGAGAUCUUCGGAUCUAGUGGCAGACGGGUGAGGAACACGUGGGAACAUCCCUUUCAGUUCGGAAUAACGUUGGGAAACUAACGCUAAUACCGGAUACGUCCUUCGGGAGAAAGAUUUAUCGCUGAAAGAUUGGCCCGCGUCUGAUUAGCUAGUUGGUGGGGUAAUGGCUCACCAAGGCUACGAUCAGUAGCUGAUCUGAGAGGAUGAUCAGCCACAUUGGGACUGAGACACGGCCCAAACUCCUACGGGAGGCAGCAGUGGGGAAUAUUGGAAAAUGGGCGCAAGCCUGAUCCAGCCAUGCCGCGUGAGUGAUGACGGCCUUCGGGUUGUAAAGCUCUUUUGUCCGGGAAGAUAAUGACUGUAACGGAAGAAUAAGCCCCGGCAAACUUCGUGCCAGCCGCCGCCGUAA
rnacentral:rRNA from 1 species